UGGUAGAUGCACCCUGAUUAUUUGCCUCGGUUUCUGACCGAGGUUUUUUAUU
rfam:Leptolyngbya sp. NIES-2104 DNA, contig: contig1.